CACCUCCCCUCCGCUGGUUUUUCCGUCGCGGCAGAACCAAUCCCUCGCUAGCCCUACCUCGUCUCCCGUCUCCAGUCGCAGCCGCCGCCGCACCCCAAUCCAACCCCGCCGCCGGCGAUCUCCUCGCCCCCCUGCGCCGCCGCCCCCAACCUUCUAUUCUUCUCCCAAGGGAAUCCCAAGGGAAGGGAAGGGAAGGCAAGGGAAGGGAAGGGAGAGGGAGCGCCCAGAUCCACGGCGGCAUCAGCGCGCCGUCGUCACCUGAUCCGCGUCCGUCCUCGAGGGAGGUCGGCCAUGGAGGUCCGACCCAGCCCGGCAGCAGCCAUGGACGGACGGAGAUGCCCCAAACCCUACCCUCAAGGACGACGCCUCAACCUUCAAGGACGCGCGCCGGCGACCGCGGAUCUCCGGUGACGGCUAUGGAUGACUGCCCCGGAUCUGGACGCACAACCUGCAGCUGCAGCAGCAGCUGGACGACCGCUUAUGUCCUGGAUUUCAUCUUUUCUCCUUUCUCUGAUUUACUCAUACACAACUCCUGACUUGCUGCAUGUGGCUGCUGAAUCUUCCUACUGCAGGUGUGCCUUACACAUGUUCGUUGAGUUGCUUAAUGACAUAAAAAUUUUUUGAAACCUGGAGUUAUGCAACUGCAGCAACAAGGACGGAUGGCCAUCUUCACAGGUUUUGCAAGUAAUUGAAGCGCUUUUUGAGUAGAGGAUAAUUAGAGAUAUAAAGUUCUACCUCAGAUCUUGGGGAAUUAAUCCAUCUCGCUGUACUACCAACUCCGUCGGCCGCUCCUGCUCCAUACGCACAAUCUCGUCGAUGUACCAGAUUUCUUUAAGACCCACUGAAUAUUAGACGGACGUGCUCUACCUUGGCCUCAAGGGUGUUCAUCUACUUGUUGCCGUGCUCUGGAAUCUGGACGAUGCACUAAUGCAGUGAGCACAAGCCUGCAACCUUGAAGGAAAAUCCAUUGCCGCUGAUGACAUGAUACUAUGGGUGACAGGCAUCUUGGCAGCCGCCACUAGAGCAACACAUCCCUGAGCGAGCAGAUGAUGCAUAGGGGCACCUAUGGAAGAAGAGGUCGGGGAUGGUAGACAAGGGCGUGGACGCCGGUGCGGGCUCCUUAAAGCCUUCGAGGAGGAUGUCGCGGUCGGGCCCGGGGGCGGCUGCACUAGAGACACCAUGGUCAUUGCAUUCUAACAGUAUCUGCAUGAGCAGAGAAGACCAAGACCAAGUGAAGGUCACAUGGACGUGUGAAUCAGUGGGCAAGCCUCAUUUUUCUUCUAUACAUUAGAGCAGCCCAAGAUACUUGGCAUCCGUGAGACCCAUAGAUCAGCUAGGUAAGUACAAAGCUACCAAUUUUCAUGUACCUAUGUGAGUUUUGUGAUGUUUCCCUAAUAGAACAGAAGCAUCCUACUUAUCAGUCUAAGUAAGUUUGUGAGUUGAUCCACUGCUGAAAACAAUUCAGUUGAACAUGUUUGUUCCAACAGUUUUGAAUGUACAUGAAUGUACAUAUGCAGUUUGAUUCCAUGUGAAGCCCUGGACAAAUAGCACAUGUAUCACAUGGGCGGCCCAGAGGUACCAUCUGUGUUGCGGUGCUGGUGCAGCGUCACAACAUGAUGGUGCCUAAGGCUGAGCCAAUGCAAGCAAACACAAAAUAGUGAAGUGGAACUAAAAUAGGUAUUUGGGGGAACAUCAGUUGUAAGUUAUUCUCCAUGUCCACUCUUCUUCCUUUUAGCUACUUUAUCCCCUCCCUUGAAAUUUUAUGGGCUGCUGGGUGCAAUUCUCCUUAUAAUACCGAGACUCAUACAAUAUGUAUUUGUUGGUGAAUUCUGCUGUUCUGGAGGUCCGCGGAUGUGUUUAUUCAAAGCUUUGAUGAGAAAUUUUGAUCAUUGUUGUUCAUCGGUGUCCAAUUAGGUUUAGUUUUAGAAAUCUCGAAUAUGUAUUUAUAAAAUAUUCAGAUGGAACAACUCAGAUUAAACUAUCUAAAAAUUCUGGGCCCCCUCUAUAAUAGUUGCAUGAAUAGAAGUGAGGAGACUGAGUGUUAGUAGGUCAUAAGUACCUUACUAUAUUCCCCUUCAUUACUGCUUUGUUUUGGUUGAACACCUCGCAACCGUCGCUCCUCCAAGUCUGAACUCCACCGCCGUGGCUCGUAUGACACAUCGGUGAUAAUGUGUUUGGUUGUAAUUGUACACCACACACGUAAUCAUGAGUAUGUCUUUCCUGUGGCACCAGAGUUCCAAUUUUGUUGUAGAUUUAUCUUUUUCACGAAUCCGUUGUACAAAUGUUCAUUGGUUGGAGGAACAGGAGUGAAUUCCUGGUUUAAAAAAUUGAUAAUGUCGAUUGAUGUGCAUGAUGAUCCUCCAUGUAUAAUAUGUAUGCCCCGGUUCCGGUAUUUUUCUUAAGUUAACUGUUGGUCAGUUCGCCAAGAAGCUUUGUAUUCCUGUUAACUAUUCCUUUGGGCAACACUAGCUUUUCUUUUGUUUCUCCAACCUAUUUCAUAAUGUAAACAAUUUUCACACUAACUCUUAAAAUUUUGGAUGACUUCGUUUCAGAUCUUCAGCCUCAAUUGGUUGGCCCAUUUAUGCUUUGCAAGAUUUAUUUAUGCCGUUUCCUCCCAAGAGUAAUAAUUUCGGUUUCAGAUGUGCUAAAAUUCUCAUCGUCACAAACCUUUCAAGGUAUCCAAUAUUACACUCAUUUUGUUUCAGCAUAAUCCUAUAUAUACUCUGCUAUUUUUAUGUUAAACAUAUAUGCUUGCUCUCCUCGGAAGUUAAUUGCUCUAGACAAGCAGCAAUAGACAUUUUUUAAUGUCCUACUUACGUGCAAAUUUUCGUCAAGAGAAAACAUUCAUAAUGCACAAUAAUUUAAAAUAAAUUUUUCAUUGAGAGAAAAGGUAAAAUAAAAUCAGUGUUGUUUUCUCACAGUAAGUUAGUUGGAGAUGAAUUGGGAUGACUCGGGCAUUACAACGAACAGUUUGUAAAUGAUGUACCGGCCAGCUGACUUGUGUAUCUUGCAGUGUCGGCGUCAUACUUCUGUACAUAGAAGGAUGGAUUCAGUAACAAUCACUUGAAUAGUUCUACUAAUUUGGGUUUCCUGUAUACGUACCUUGACCCUUUGUUCCUCUACACCAGCAAUGCUUGAGGAUUCACUGGAUGUAUUGAGAUCAAAUUUUGGAUGCCAAUUUGGAUACUCAGAUUACACGACCAUCUGUGCAUGCAUAGAUGAGAUGUUUUUUCAUGGAAUGUUUUGACGUAUGGUGGUUUUUCAUACACUCUUUUCAUUUUUUAUUUGGCUAGGGUGAACAAUACUAUUUAGGUGAUUGUGAAAAUGCAGGCUACAGUAUUAAAUUUUCAUAAGGUUUGUGAAAAUACAAUUUUCUACACUAAGGAUGUGCCCAGCUUC